rnacentral:rRNA from 1 species
GACGAACGCUGGCGGCGUGCUUAACACAUGCCAGUCGAACGGAAAGGCCCUGCUUUUGUGGGGUGCUCGAGUGGCGAACGGGUGAGUAACACGUGAGUAACCUGCCCUUGACUUUGGGAUAACUUCAGGAAACUGGGGCUAAUACCGGAUAGGAGCUCCUGCUGCAUGGUGGGGGUUGGAAAAUUUCGGCGGCUGGGGAUGGACUCGCGGCUUAUCAGCUUGUUGGUGGGGUAGUGGCUUACCAAGGCUUUGACGGGUAGCCGGCCUGAGAGGGUGACCGGCCACAUUGGGACUGAGAUACGGCCCAGACUCCUACGGGAGGCAGCAGUGGGGAAUAUUGCACAAUGGGCGGAAGCCUGAUGCAGCAACGCCGCGUGCGGGAUGACGGCCUUCGGGUUGUAAACCGCUUUCGCCUGUGGCGAAGCGUGAGUGACGGUAAUGGGUAAAGAAGCACCGGCUAACUACGUG